GAUGAACGCUGGCGGCGUGCCUAAUACAUGCAAGUCGAGCGAAGCGGGGACGGGUGAGUAAUACGAGGAUAACCUCCUAUAAGGAUGGGGUAAGUUCAGGAAAGCUGAGCUAAACCGGAUACUUAGAGGUGGAUCCUCGCUGCAUUAGCUAGGUGGUAAGGUAACGGCUUACCAAGGCAACGAUGCGUAGCCGACCUGAGAGGGGGAUCGGCCACACUGGAACUGAGACACGGUCCAGACUCCUACGGGAGGCAGCAGUAGGGAAUAUUCCGCAAUGGGCGAAAGCCUGACCGGGCCACGCCGCGUGAGUGAUGAAGGUCUUCGGAUCGUAAAGCUCUGUUAUUAGGGAAGCGGUACCUAAUCAGAAAGCCCCGGCUAACUACGUGCCAGCAGCCGCGGUAAUAC
rnacentral:rRNA from 1 species